UUAAGUGACUAAGCGUACAUGGUGGAUGCCUUGGCAGUCAGAGGCGAUGAAGGACGUACUAACCUGCGAUAAGCCGUGAGCAGUCGGUAAGAGACAUUACGACUCACGGAUUUCCGAAUGGGGAAACCCACUUAGCAUAAGCUAGGUAUCGCUACGUGAAUACAUAGCGUAGCGAGGCGAACCGGGAGAACUGAAACAUCUAAGUACCCCGAGGAAAAGAAAUCAACCGAGAUUCCCUCAGUAGCGGCGAGCGAACGGGGAUUAGCCCUUAAGCAUCUUGGAAGUUAGUGGAACGGUCCUGGAAAGGCCGGCGAUACAGGGUGAUAGCCCCGUACACGAAAACAACCUUGAUGUGAAAUCGAGUAGGGCGGGACACGUGACAUCCUGUCUGAAUAUGGGGGGACCAUCCUCCAAGGCUAAAUACUCCUGACUGACCGAUAGUGAACCAGUACCGUGAGGGAAAGGCGAAAAGAACCCCUGUGAGGGGAGUGAAAUAGAACCUGAAACCGUGUACGUACAAGCAGUGGGAGCCCUUCGGGGUGACUGCGUACCUUUUGUAUAAUGGGUCAGCGACUUACAUUUUGUAGCGAGGUUAACCGUAUAGGGGAGCCGUAGGGAAACCGAGUCUUAACUGGGCGUCUAGUUGCAAGGUGUAGACCCGAAACCGGGUGAUCUAGCCAUGGGCAGGUUGAAGGUUGAGUAACAUCAACUGGAGGACCGAACCCACUAACGUUGCAAAGUUAGGGGAUGACCUGUGGCUGGGGGUGAAAGGCCAAUCAAACUCGGAGAUAGCUGGUUCUCCCCGAAAGCUAUUUAGGUAGCGCCUCGGACGAAUACUACUGGGGGUAGAGCACUGUUUGGGCUAGGGGGUCAUCCCGACUUACCAACCCCAUGCAAACUCCGAAUACCAGUAAGUAAUAUCCGGGAGACACACGGCGGGUGCUAACGUCCGUCGUGAAGAGGGAAACAACCCAGACCGCCGGCUAAGGUCCCAAAGUUCUGGUUAAGUGGGAAACGAUGUGGGAAGGCUCAGACAGCUAGGAUGUUGGCUUAGAAGCAGCCAUCAUUUAAAGAAAGCGUAAUAGCUCACUAGUCGAGUCGGCCUGCGCGGAAGAUGUAACGGGGCUCAAACCAGGCACCGAAGCCGCGGAUUCACACUAAGUGUGAGUGGUAGGGGAGCGUUCUGUAAGUCUGCGAAGGUGUGUCGAGAGGCAUGCUGGAGAUAUCAGAAGUGCGAAUGCUGACGUAAGUAACGAUAAAGGGGGUGAAAAGCCUCCUCGCCGGAAGACCAAGGGUUCCUGUCCAACGUUAAUCGGGGCAGGGUGAGUCGACCCCUAAGGCGAGGCCGAAAGGCGUAGUCGAUGGGAAGCAGGUUAAUAUUCCUGCACGACUUGUAAUUGCGAUGGGGGGACGGAGAAGGCUAGGUGGGCCAGGCGACGGUUGUCCUGGUGAAAGUGCGUAGGUGGUGUUUCUAGGCAAAUCCGGAGACACAACACUGAGAUACGAGACGAACACACUACGGUGUGGAAGCCAUUGAUGCCCUGCUUCCAGGAAAAGCCUCUAAGCUUCAGAUUACAAGUCAUCGUACCCCAAACCGACACAGGUGGUCGGGUAGAGAAUACCAAGGCGCUUGAGAGAACUCGGGUGAAGGAACUAGGCAAAAUAGAACCGUAACUUCGGGAGAAGGUUCGCUCUUGACAGUGAAGUCCCUUGCGGAUGGAGCAGUUGGGAGUCGCAGUGACCAGAUGGCUGGGACUGUUUAUCAAAAACACAGCACUCUGCAAACACGAAAGUGGACGUAUAGGGUGUGACACCUGCCCGGUGCCGGAAGGUUAAUUGAUGGGGUUAGCGCAAGCGAAGCUCUUGAUCGAAGCCCCGGUAAACGGCGGCCGUAACUAUAACGGUCCUAAGGUAGCGAAAUUCCUUGUCGGGUAAGUUCCGACCUGCACGAAUGGUGUAACCAUGGCCAUGCUGUCUCCACCCGAGACUCAGUGAAAUCGAAUUCGCCGUGAAGAUGCGGUGUACCCGCGGCUAGACGGAAAGACCCCGUGAACCUUUACUACAGCUUGGCACUGAACAUUGAACCUACAUGUGUAGGAUAGGUGGGAGGCUUUGAAGGCGUGACGCCAGUUGCGCUGGAGCCGUCCUUGAAAUACCACCCUUGUAUGUUUGAUGUUCUAACGCAGGCCCGUGAAUCCGGGUCGCGGACAGUGCCUGGUGGGUAGUUUGACUGGGGCGGUCUCCUCCCAAAGAGUAACGGAGGAGCACGAAGGUUGGCUAAUCCUGGUCGGACAUCAGGAGGUUAGUGCAAUGGCAUAAGCCAGCUUAACUGCGAGACGGACAGGUCGAGCAGGUACGAAAGUAGGUCAUAGUGAUCCGGUGGUUCUGAAUGGAAGGGCCAUCGCUCAACGGAUAAAAGGUACUCCGGGGAUAACAGGCUGAUACCGCCCAAGAGUUCAUAUCGACGGCGGUGUUUGGCACCUCGAUGUCGGCUCAUCACAUCCUGGGGCUGAAGUCGGUCCCAAGGGUAUGGCUGUUCGCCAUUUAAAGUGGUACGCGAGCUGGGUUCAGAACGUCGUGAGACAGUUCGGUCCCUAUCUGCCGUGGGCGUUGGAUGAUUGAAGGGAGUUGCUCCUAGUACGAGAGGACCGGAGUGAACGAACCUCUGGUGUUCGGGUUGUCACGCCAGUGGCACUGCCCGGUAGCUAAGUUCGGAAUCGAUAACCGCUGAAAGCAUCUAAGCGGGAAGCGAGCCCUGAGAUGAGUCAUCCCUGACCCCUUGAGGGUCCUAAAGGGCCGUUGGAGACCACAACGUUGAUAGGUGGGGUGUGUAAGCGCGGCGACGUGUUGAGCUAACCCAUACUAAUUACCCGUGAGGCUUAACC
rnacentral:rRNA from 1 species